CAGGCUAAUUUUGCAUGGAGGAAAAUAAACAAUAAAACAUGUCGAAAAUAGAGUUGUUGAGAGAGUUUCUCAACCAGAAAUUAACAGCGGCUGCUGAGGAGAUAUUUGGGGUCGUUGAAAAAACGAUAGCAGAGUACCAGGUAGACGUUUUUCGUACGAAAGAGGAGAACGAACGUCUUCGUGGGCUGUUGAUGGUGCAUAGAGGAGAGUCAGACUGCCAUCAGCAGGCUGAAGCUACUAUCACUUUGGUGCAGGUUGCCCCAGAGCAGCAGCAGUCAUGUUCUCAAGAGUGGGGCCUCCAUCUAAGACAGGAGGACCCAGAGCCCACAAUGUCACAGUGUAAAGAGGAAGACGAUACCUACUGGAUCAGUGAGGUCGAAGAGCACAUUCAAAUGCUGGAGUCUGAUCCCAAAGACCCAGACCAAGUAUCCACUCCUGAAGAUUUCACAUUCCAAAUGGAGACAGAAGGGUCAGUAAAUGAAGCCAUCAAACUGAAAGUCAUCCUCAACAACAACAGAAUAGAGAAAGUGAUUCUGCCCUCUCAACCUGACUCACUGAAUGAGCUGAUAUCAACGCUCAAGGAGAAACUGCAUCUGAAUUUAGAUUUUCGUCUUCUUUAUGAAGACCCUGAUUUCAACAACGAGCUCUUCAACUUAGAGACCAUUGAAGACUUGCCUUCUCCUAGGGCUACGGUGAAAGUUUUGCGAAUACGACGUGCUACAGACCUCGGUUUAACCGGACUCUCAGCCACUGAGUUACAGGAUGCCCCACCAGAGCGGCUAGGCAGGUGGCCUGAGGUAUUUGUCAUACCCACUUUCUCGAUGGAAGUUGAGUUUGCUCUGAGAGAGGGCAAUUGUGCAUAUCUGAGACAUGAAACGGUGCUGAAAAUAACAAGGGAUCAAAAACACAACAUUCUUGAUAGGAUGGCUUGGACAAUCUUCAAUUUCAAAGCGUACCCAAGUGACAGGCAGUUUGCCAAGGCAGCUGAGGCCCUUGUAACCAAGCACCCGUGUUUGAAAGAGCCUGGCUCAAAAACAGGCUGCGAUGGCUGGAAGAACAGCCUGAAAUUCAAAAUGGGAAACUACAGGCAGAAGUUACGCCGUGUUGGGUUCCCAGAGGUUGCUGUGAACGGUGGGAGGAGGAGCAAGCAUCGUCCUGACAAUGAGCACGCUCGGAGCAACAUCAAACGAGCACGCCGGGCAGAGGUGAACUUCCUGCCCAACUUCCCUCAAGGAGAAGAUGAGGCCAGGCUGGAGAAACAGACUGGAGAUGGUCCACGAGAUGACGAAAGAAAACAGAGACCUGCCACUCAUCAAUCAACACAUGCAGAAGACAUUUGCUUUCCGACGCCAAGAAAUAGUUAAAUCCAGUCCCUCGGUAGAGCAUCUCAGAACACGCUGGCCAGCACUCUUCCUUGAAGCCCAGGUUAAGCAGACUAAGAAAAGUUGUCUUUGUCCAUUCAUGUUCUCAUAACAACCUACAUUUCCAUUGCAGUUCAGACCUUUUUUAAUGCAUGUCACAUGGGCUUCUGGUUGUACUCACAAAUCAUGGUUAUCAGUAACAAAAUUCUCAGGGCAGACUCAACUUGCCUGACUGCCAUAAAUUGGUGUGUGCUUUGUCUUUUGCUUUAGGUACAUGCUGAGUUUCAGAGAAUCACCAACCAGAGCCUGCAGCAGACGUUCUACGCUGCCUUGGACCUCCACACACCCCGCCUGCUGACCCUGUUCAGGGAGAAGGAGGGGAAGUCCACCACCCAUGGAGGGAAGUUCUCAAGCAUCCUGAGAGUGUACAACGAGCAGUUCACUUCACAGGGAGAAAAGAACAUCACCGUGGCCCGUUCUGCAGUCCUGGCUGGUCUCCCUUUGUUGUUACGAGAGGAUAGUUCUGAUGUCUUCAAAAUCUGCAAGGUGGGAGAACUCAGCAACCCUGGUAUUCUGGAUGGAGUUUCCAUUCUCUCAGUGGUGGGCCAGCACAAUGAGGUGGUGGGUGGUAUACCCAUCAGACCAGCCCAUGUAUCCAUUGUCCUUGAGGAUAAGAUCGUCAUGACUAGCUCCUGGCCAGACGCUCUCAUGGUUGUUUUUGGGCUACUCUACUCCCUCCAUCUGAACUACCCCAAGGCCCUGGGCAGCACCUUUGAGUUAAUGCAGAAAGUCUUCCUGAACCUCGACGAUGGAAAGCUGAAGCCCAAGUUGCUAGCACUAAAAAAUGAACUGUUGGCCUAAUUCUGUAGUUGAUGAGAUGGAAUUUUACUUUCAGUGACCUCCUAUAUGCCGAGUGAGUGGUUUGAAAACAAUGGUUAUUUUUGUUUGGUUUGCUUUUUAUAUUUUUGUACCUUUUUUGUGAAGGUAAUGGAUUUGAUAUUGUAUUUCAAUUCACUUAUAACCCUUUUAUGUGCAAAGAAGACACAGGUCAGUCAACACAUUAACUUAUAACCCUUUUAUGUGCAAAGAAGACACAGGUCAGUCAACACAUUAACUUGCCACAUACAGUAGAUCUACGACACAGUUCUCUACCUUUUGUUAUACAGCUGCAGAAAACCCCCAAAUGUAUUCUAGAAGAUUUCACCUUUUGCACUCAGUACAGCCUCAAUUUGUCGCAGCAUGGACUCUACAAGGUGUCAAAGCGUUUCACAGGGAUGCUGGCCCAUGUUGACUCCAAUGUGUCCCACAGUUGGCACAAUGUCAAUUAGGUGGUGGACUAUUCUUGAUACACACAGGAAACUGUUGAGCGGGAAAAACCCAGCAGCGUUGCAGUGCUUGACACACUCAAACUUCUUUAACCUGU